rnacentral:rRNA from 1 species
AACGAACGCUGGCGGCAGGCCUAACACAUGCAAGUCGAGCGAGGACUUCGGUCCUAGCGGCGGACGGGUGUGUCACGCGUGGGAACGUGCCCUUUGCUUCGGAAUAGCCCUUGGAAACUGGGAGUAAUACCGGAUGAGCCCUUUGGGGGAAAGAUUUAUCGUCGAAGGUUCGGCCCGCGUUGGUUUAGGUAGUUGGUGGGGUAAUGGCCUACCAAGCCGAGGAUCCAUAGCUGGUUUGGGAGGAUGAUUCGCCACACUGGGACUGAGACACGGCCCAGAAUGCGACGGGAGGCAGCAGUGGGGAAUCUUAGGCAAUGGGGGAAAACCUGAUCUAGCCAUGCCGGGUGAGCGAUGAAGGCCGUAGGGUUGUAAAGCUCUUUGAGCUGGGAAGAUAAUGACGGUACCAGCAGAAGAAGCCCCGGCUAACUCCGUG